AUACAGAGGGUGCAAGCGUUACUCGGAAUCACUGGGCGUAAAGCGCGCGCAGGCGGCUAUUUAAGUUGGAUGUGAAAGCCUACGGCUCAACCGUAGAACUGCAUCCAAAACUAUUUAGCUAGAGUGUGGGAGAGGAAGAUGGAAUUAGUUGUGUAGGGGUAAAAUCCGUAGAGAUAACUAGGAAUACCAAAAGCGAAGGCAAUCUUCUGGAACACUACUGACGCUGAGGCGCGAAAGCGUGGGGAGCAAACGGGAUUAGAUACCCUAGUAGUCC
rnacentral:rRNA from 1 species